rnacentral:rRNA from 1 species
CCUACGGGUGGCAGCAGUGGGGGAUAUUGCACAAUGGGGGGAACCCUGAUGCAGCGACGCCGCGUGGGUGAAGAAGCGCCUCGGCGCGUAAAGCCCUGUCAGCAGGGAAGAAAAUGACGGUACCUGAAGAAGAAGCCCCGGCUAACUACGUGCCAGCAGCCGCGGUAAUACGGAGGGGGCAAGAGUUAUCCGGAUUUACUGGGUGUAAAGGGGGCGCAGACGGCGAUGCAAGCCAGGAGUGAAAGCCCGGGGCUCAACCCCGGGACUGCUCUUGGAACUGCGUGGCUGGAGUGCAGGAGGGGCAGGCGGAAUUCCUGGUGUAGCGGUGAAAUGCGUAGAUAUCAGGAGGAACACCGGUGGCGAAGGCGGCCUGCUGGACUGCAACUGACGUUGAGGCCCGAAAGCGUGGGGAGCAAACAGGAUUAGAUACCCCAGUAGUC